rnacentral:rRNA from 1 species
UACGUAGGGUGCGAGCGUUAAUCGGAAUUACUGGGCGUAAAGCGUGCGCAGGCGGUUGGUUAAGUCUGAUGUGAAAGCCCCGGGCUCAACCUGGGAAUGGCAUUGGAAACUGGCUAGCUGGAGUGUGGCAGAGGGGGGUGGAAUUCCGCGUGUAGCAGUGAAAUGCGUAGAUAUCGUAAGGAAGGCCGGUGGCGAAAGCGAGCCUCUGGACAGUUACUGACGCUGAUGCACGAAGGCCAGGGGAGCAAACGGG